GACGAACCGUGCGAACGUUGUUCGGAAUCACUGGGCUUAAAGGGCGCGUAGGCGGGUGUGCAAGUCUGCGGUGAAAGCCUCCAGCUUAACUGGAGAAGUGCCGUGGAUACUGCUCAUCUCGAGGAGGGUAGGGGCAUCUGGAACGUUGGGUGGAGCGGUGAAAUGCGUUGAUAUCGGAAGGAACGCCGGUGGCGAAAGCGGUCCGCUGGGUCCCCACUGACGCUGAGGCGCGAAAGCCAGGGGAGCAAACGGG
rnacentral:rRNA from 1 species